rnacentral:rRNA from 1 species
GCCAGUAGUCAUAUGCUUGUCUCAAAGAUUAAGCCAUGCAUGUCUAAGUUUAAGCGAUUUAAACUGUGAAACUGCGGAUGGCUCAUUAAAUCAGUUAUAGUUUAUUUGAUGGUGCCUUACUACACGGAUACCUGUAGUAAUUCUAGAGCUAAUACGUGCGUAAAAUCCCGACUUUAGUCGGAAGGGAUGUAUUUGUUAGGUAACAAAAGCCAGCACGAGCUUCGGCUCGGUUGUAUGGUGAGUCAUAACAACUGUUCGGAGCGCAAGGCCUCGAGCCGGCGCUAGGUCAUUCAAAUUUCUGCCCUAUCAGCUUUCGAUGGUAGUGUAGUGGACUACCAUGGCUUUGACGGGUAACGGAGAAUUAGGGUUCGAUUCCGGAGAGGGAGCCUGAGAAACGGCUACCACAUCUAAGGAUGGCAGCAGGCGCGCAACUUACCCAAUCCUGACUCAGGGAGGUAGUGACAAGAAAUAACAUCACCGGGCCUUUACGGUCUGGUGUAUGGAAUGAGUACAAUGUAAACACCUUAACGAGGAUCCAUUGGAGGGCAAGUCUGGUGCCAGCAGCCGCGGUAAUACCAGCUCCAAUAGCGUAUAUGUCCUUUGCUGUGGUUAAAAAGCUCGUAGUUGGAUUUCUGACCAGGUGAGCCUAUCCCUCCCCCUUUGCGGGGGCUGCGCGAUGGCAGCGCACCGGUCAUCUUUCGCGAGAGCAGCUGCGCCCUUAGUUGGGUUGCGGUUGGGAUCGCGGACGUUUACUUUGAAAAAAUUAGAGUGUUCAAGGCAGGCUUUACGCCUGAAUCGUCCAGCAUGGAAUAAUAAGAUAGGACUUUGGUUCUAUUUUGUUGGUUUCUAGGGCCAGAGUAAUGAUUGAUAGGGAUAGUUGGGGGUGCUAGUAUUGAACGGCCAGCGGUGAAAUGCUCGGAUUCGUUCAAGACUAACGUAUGCGAAAGCGUUCGCCAAGGAUGUCUUCUUUAAUCAAGAACGAAAGUUGGGGGAUCGAAGACGAUCAGAUACCGUCGUAGUCCCAACCAUAAACUAUACCGGCUGGGGAUUGGCCGACGUUGAGAUUGACUCGGUCAGCACCCUAUGAGAAAUCAAAGCCUUUGGGUUCCGGGGGGAGUAUGGUCGCAAGGCUGAAACUUAAAGGAAUUGACGGAAGGGCACCACCAGGCGUGGAGCUUGCGGCUUAAUUUGACUCAACACGGGGAAACUUACCAGGUCCAGACACAGGAAGGAUUGACAGGUUGAAGACCUUUCUUGAUUCUGUGGGUGGUGGUGCAUGGCCGUUAUUAGUUGGUGGAGUGAUCUGUCUGGUUAAUUCCGUUAACGAACGAGACCUUGGCCUGCUAAUUAGUUUGCGUCACCUUGGUGGCGUCGAGCUUCUUAGAGGGACUAUCUGUGAUGAGCAGAUGGAAGUGCGAGGCUAUAACAGGUCUGUGAUGCCCUUCGACGUUCUGGGCCGCACGCGUGCUACACUGAUGGGUUCAACGAGUUCGAAUGGUUCUUGGCCGAUAGGUCUGGGAAAUCUUUGAACGCCCAUCGUGAUUGGGAUAGAUGCUUGCAAUUUUUCAUCUUGAACGAGGAAUGCCUAGUAAUCGCAAGUCAUCAACUUGCAAUGAUUACGUCCCUGCCCUUUGUACACACCGCCCGUCGCUCCUACCGAUUGAGCGGUCCGGUGAGGUGCGAGGAUUGGUGGCGGCGCUCUUUGAGCCCGACGCCGAGAAUUGCACCAAGCCUUACUGCUUAGAGGAAGGAG